GGCUUCGUGGUAAGAGGUUAUCACAUCGGCGGUAUCACGCCGAAAGUUUCUAGUUCGAUCCUGGACGAAGUCA